AGAGUUUGAUUAUGGCUCAGAAUGAACGCUGGCGGCAUGGAUUAGGCAUGCAAGUCGAACGGGGCCCUUCGGGACCUAGUGGCGAAAGGGUGAGUAACACGUGAGCAAUCUGCCCCCAAGGCCGGAAUAAGCACUGGAAACGGUGUCUAAAACCGGAUGAGGCCCGGAGUCGCAUGACUCCUCAGCCAAAUAUUCAUACCCUGGGGAUGAGCUCGCGGCCCAUUAGCUAGUUGGCGGGUAACGGCCCACCAAGGCUGCGACGGGUAGGUGGUCUGAGAGGAUGGUCACCCACACUGGGACUGAGACACUGCCCAGACUCCUACGGGAGGCUGCAGUCGAGAAUCUUCCGCAAUGGGCGCAAGCCUGAACCGGAGCGAUGCCGCGUGAGGGAAGUAGGCCUUCGGGUCGUGAACCUCUGUCGACGGGGACGAACGCAAUGACGGUACCCGUCAAGAAAGCCACGGCUAACCACGUGCCAGCAGCCGC
rnacentral:rRNA from 1 species